rnacentral:lncRNA from 1 species
UUGGGGCGGCUCGUUAUCUGCGCGCCUUACUCUUGUCGCUGUCACUCAAAAGCUUGUCAUAUUGCCGGCUUAAAAUUUUGUGCUUUCCCGAGUGUGAGCGUCGCAGAGUAAAGUGAAAAAAAAAAUAAUAAUUGUGAAAUGCAAAUGAAAUGAGCUUUUCCUCUUUGUCGCCAUUGUCGAUCGAAUUGGAUCUUAAGUGUGCCACUUUGUGCCUAUUUUAGUGCUGCCAGUGCUGGCGCGUGAGUGGCAAGCGGGAGGCGUGCACCGGUCAACUCGUCGGCAUCAUUGCAACUUGUAUUAAGCGACGAUCCAAAUUAUUGUUGAUUUUUCUACACUUAACUCUACUUCUUCCAAGUUUCGCGUUCGGCAAUAAAACCGUCACUUUUGUGGAAAUCAUUGAGAGAAUUUCAAGAAUUUCUCAAAAUUCAAGUGGCAACUACAUGCUUAAGUGUUGCUGAGUGUGUUGUAAGUGCGGAAAAGCUAACAAACAGCGGCAGCCGGAAAAAACAUACUUGAGUUGUGUGUUGUUGUUAUUUAACGGGAAUCGUGAAAACAGUUCAAGAGUGUUUUUUGAGAAAAAUCUUCACGAAUAUAAUAAAAAAAAUAAUCAAACAUAAAAAAUAAAGCAAAUAUAAAAAAGUUUUAACGAAGUAUCAGCAGCUAACGGCGAGACAAUAAUAACAACAACAAAAUUCGUGGCAACAAUUUGUACACGUUUGGCACGAUGGAGGGCGGCUACGUGAAUGAAGAAGAUUCCGAUGCAAUAAUGGGAGUGGAGAGUCCAGGCAAUUAAAAUCACCAUAGUUUUUGCUUGUUACAAAAAAAAA